GAGCGGGCAUCGCAAGAUGUCAGCGGCAGACGGGAGAGUAACACGUGGGAACAUGCCCUUCGGUUCGGAAUAACUCAGGGAAACUUGAGCUAAUACCGGAUACGUCCGUAAGGAGAAAGAUUUAUCGCCGAAGGAUUGGCCCGCGUCCGAUUAGCUAGUUGGUGAGGUAACGGCUCACCAAGGCGACGAUCGGUAGCUGGUCUGAGAGGAUGAUCAGCCUCACUGGGACUGAGACACGGCCCAGACUCCUACGGGAGGCAGCAGUGGGGAAUAUUGGACAAUGGGCGCAAGCCUGAUCCAGCCAUGCCGCGUGGGUGAUGAAGGCCCUAGGGUUGUAAAGCCCUUUCGGCGGGGAAGAUAAUGACGGUACCCGCAGAAGAAGCCCCGGCUAACUUCGUG
rnacentral:rRNA from 1 species